rnacentral:rRNA from 1 species
UCUCUGUGGACGACGUCGAGUCAUCAUGGCCCUUACGGGUUGGGCUACACACGUGCUACAAUGGCAUCUACAGUGAGUUAAUCUCCAAAAGAUGUCUCAGUUCGGAUUGGGGUCUGCAACUCGACCCCAUGAAGUUGGAAUCGCUAGUAAUCGCGGAACAGCAUGCCGCGGUGAAUACGUUCCCGGGCCUUGUACACACCGCCCGUCACGCCAUGGGAAUUGGGUCUACCCGAAGGUGGUGCGCCAACUCUUUAUAGGGGCAGCCAACCACGGUAGGUUCAGUGACUGGGGUGAAGUCGUAACCAGGUAGCCGUCUCAAUUCCCGCGGAR